ACAUCCAGAGAACUUAGCAGAGAUGCUUUGGUGCCUUCGGGAACUCUGAGACAGGUGCUGCAUGGCUGUCGUCAGCUCGUGUUGUGAAAUGUUGGGUUAAGUCCCGCAACGAGCGCAACCCUUUAUCCUUUGUUGCCAGCGGUUCGGCCGGGAACUCAAAGGAGACUGCCGGUGAUAAACCGGAGGAAGGUGGGGAUGACGUCAAGUCAUCAUGGCCCUUACGGCCAGGGCUACACACGUGCUACAAUGGCGCAUACAAAGAGAAGCGACCUCGCGAGAGCAAGCGGACCUCAUAAAGUGCGUCGUAGUCCGGAUUGGAGUCUGCAACUCGACUCCAUGAAGUCGGAAUCGCUAGUAAUCGUAGAUCAGAAUGCUACGGUGAAUACGUUCCCGGGCCUUGUACACACCGCCCGUCACACCAUGGGAGUGGGUUGCAAAAGAAGUAGGUAGCUUAACCUUCGGGAGGGCGCUUACCACUUUGUGAUUCAUGACUGGGGUGAAGUCGUAACAAGGUAAGCGUAGCGAG
rnacentral:rRNA from 1 species